rnacentral:tRNA from 1 species
AUGUAGCUCAGUGAUAGAGUGCUUGCCUAGCAUGCAUGAGUUCCUGAGUUCAAGCCUCAGCAU